GACGAACGCUGGCGGCGUGCUUAACACAAGCAAGUCGAACGGGCCUGUCUUCUUUUUUGGGGGUGGGUUGAGUGGCGAACGGGUGAGUAUCACGUGAGUAACCUGCCCUUCGGUCCUGGAUAACCGCUUGAAAGGGCGGCUAAUACGGGGUGGUCCGGUUGGUCCGCAUGGGCUGGUCGGGAUAGAUUCACUGUUUUUGGUGUUUCGGCGGGGGAUGGGCUCGCGGCCUAUCAGCUUGUUGGUGGGGUGAUGGCCUACCAAGGCGGUGACGGGUAGCCGGCCGGAGAGGGUGGGCGGCCACACUGGGACUGGGAUACGGCCCAGACUCCUGCGGGAGGCAGCAGUGGGGGGUAUUGCACAGUGGGCGGAAGCCUGAUGCAGCGACGUCGCGUGAGGGAUGGAGGCCUUCGGGUUGUGAACCUCUGUUUCCGGUGGUGAAGGCCCUGUCCGUGUGGUGGGGUUGACGGUAGCCGGGGAUGAAGCGCCGGCUAACUACGUG
rnacentral:rRNA from 1 species